UUGACGGGGCCCGCACAAGCGGUGGAGCAUGUGGUUCAAUUCGACGCAACGCGAAGAACCUUACCUGGGCUUGACAUCCGCUGACAGUCCCGAAAACGGGAUCUUCCCCGCAAGGGGACAGCGAGACAGGUGCUGCAUGGCUGUCGUCAGCUCGUGUCGUGAGAUGUUGGGUUAAGUCCCGCAACGAGCGCAACCCUCAUCCUUAGUUGCCAUCAUUGAGUUGGGAACUCUAAGGAAACUGCCUCGGUUAACGGGAGGAAGGUGGGGAUGACGUCAAGUCCUCAUGGCCUUUAUGUCCAGGGCUACACACGUGCUACAAUGGGCGGAACAAAGGGUUGCAAUACCGCAAGGUGGAGCUAAUCUCAAAAAACCGCUCUCAGUUCAGAUUGGAGUCUGCAACUCGACUCCAUGAAGGCGGAAUCGCUAGUAACCGCAGGUCAGCUAUACUGCGGUGAAUACGUUCCCGGGGCUU
rnacentral:rRNA from 1 species